rnacentral:rRNA from 1 species
AACGUACGCUGGCGGCACGCCUAACACAUGCAAGUCGAACGCAGUAGCAAUACUGAGUGGCAGACGGGUGAGUAACAUGUGGGAAUCUGCCUUGUGGUUCAGGACAACAUUGGGAAACCGAUGCUAAUACUGGAUAAGCCCUUACGGGGAAAGUUUUAAUGCCAUAAGAUGAGCCCGCAUUUGAUUAGUUAGUUGGUGAGGUAAUGGCUCACCAAGACAAUGAUCAAUAGCUGAUCUGAGAGGAUGAUCAGCCACACUGGGACUGAGACACGGCCCAGACUNCUACGGGAGGCAGCAGUGGGGAAUCUUGCACAAUGGAGGAAACUCUGAUGCAGCGAUGCCGCGUGAGUGAAGAAGGCCUUUGGGUUGUAAAGCUCUUUNGUAGUGGAAGAUAAUGACUGUCCCUAA